AAAGACUCAAUUUCUAGGUUUUGGUGUUCAACGUUUAACCGUCCGUCUUAUAUGAAUUUUUUUUAUGAUUAGUAUUUUCAUUAUUGUCAUAUGAUAAAAACAUUAAUAAUACUUUAUGCAUAACUUAUCUUUUUAAUUUUUUUCAUAACUUUUUCAAAUAAGACGAACGGUCAAACGUUAGGCACGGAAACCUAAGAAUUGAGUUUUU
rfam:Oryza sativa Japonica Group DNA, chromosome 1, cultivar: Nipponbare, complete sequence.